rnacentral:rRNA from 1 species
CCUACGGUAGGCAGCAGUGAGGAAUAUUGGUCAAUGGUCGGGAGACUGAACCAGCCAAGCCGCGUGAGGGAGGCAGGUACAGAGUAUCGUACACCUCUUUUGUCAGGGAACAAAGGCGGGGACGUGUCCCCGGCUGAGUGUACCUGAAGAAAAAGCAUCGGCUAACUCCGUGCCAGCAGCCGCGGUACUACGGAGGAUGCUAGCGUUAUCCGGAUUUAUUGGGUUUAACGGGUGCGAAGGCGGUCUGUUAAGUCAGUGGGAAAAGCCCGGGGCUCAACCCCGGACCGCCGUUGAAACUGGCAGUCUCGAGUUGGAGAGAAGUAUGCGGAAUGCGCGGUGUAGCGGGGAAAUGCAUAGAGAUCGCGAAGAACUCCGAUUGCGAAGGCAGCAUGCCGGCUCCACACUGACGCUGAGGCACGAAAGCGUGGGUAUCGAACAGGAUUAGAUACCCCAGUAGUC